GAUGAACGCUGGCGGCGUGCCUAAUACAUGCAAGUCGAACGAGGUCUUCGGACCUAGUGGCGAACGGGUGAGUAACACGUUGGUACCUACCCCGAGGUGGGGAAUAACUGCCCGAAAGGGUGGCUAAUACCGCAUAAUACCGCAAGGUUAAAGCAGUAAUGCGCUUCGGGAGGGGCCUGCGUCCCAUUAGCUAGUUGGUAGGGUAAUGGCCUACCAAGGCGACGAUGGGUAGCUGGAUCGAGAGGUUGACCAGCCACACUGGGACUGAGAUACGGCCCAGACUCCUACGGGAGGCAGCAGCAAGGAAUCUUCCACAAUGGACGAAAGUCUGAUGGAGCAACGCCGCGUGCAGGAUGACGGCCCUCGGGUUGUAAACUGCUUUUAUACGGGAAGAUUAUGACGGUACCGUAUGAAUAAGGACCGGCUAACUACGUGCCAGCCGCCGCCGUAA
rnacentral:rRNA from 1 species